rnacentral:rRNA from 1 species
AGAGUUUGAUCCUGGCUCAGAUUGAACGCUGGCGACGUGCUUAACACAUGCAAGUCGUGCGAGAAAGGAGACUUCGGUCUCUGAGUAGAGCGGCGCACGGGUGAGUAACGCGUGGAUGAUCUACCCUUGAGUUCGGGAUAACGGUGCGAAAGCGCCGCUAAUACCGUAUAACAAUCCAUUUCAUCGUGGGUUCAAAGCAGGCCUCUUCAUGAAAGCUUGCGCUUGGGGAUGAGUCCGCGUCCCAUUAGCUUGUUGGCGGGGUAACGGCCCACCAAGGCUACGAUGGGUAGCUGGUCUGAGAGGAUGAUCAGCCACACUGGAACUGAAACACGGUCCAGGCUCCUACGGGAGGCAGCAGUGGGGAAUAUUGCGCAAUGGGGGAAACCCUGACGCAGCGACGUCGUGUGAGGGAAGAAGGCCUUCGGGU